GACGAACGCUGGCGGCAUGCUUAACACAUGCAAGUCGAACGGAAACGCCCUGCUUUUUUGUGCUGCUCGGUUGGCGAACGGGUGAGUAAGAAGUGUGUAACCUGCUCUUCACUUUGGGAUAACAUCAGGUAACUAGGGCUAAUACCGGAUCGGAGCUCCUCCUGCAUGGUGGGGGUUGGAUAGUUUCGGCGGGUGGGGAUGGAUGCGCGGCUAAUCGGCUUGUUGGUGGGGUAGUGGCUUUCCAAGGCGUUGACGGGUAGCCGGCCUGUGAGGGUGACCGGCGACAAUGGGACUGAGGGAGGGACCAGUGUGGAACGGGGGGCAGCAGGGGGGAAUAUGGUACAAUGGGCGGGAGUCUGAUGCGACGACGCCGCGUGUGUGAUGACGGCUUUCGGGGUGUAAACCGCGUUCGCCUGUGACGAAGCGUGAGUGACGGUAACGGGAGAAGAAGCACCGGCUAACUACGUG
rnacentral:rRNA from 1 species